GACGAACGCUGGCGGCGUGCUUAAUACAUGCAAGUCGAGCGAGGUUACUGCGACAGAUCCCUUCGGGGUGAAGUUGCUUUAGCCUAGCGGCGGACGGGUGAGUAACGCGUGGGUAACCUACCCCAAAGUCCGGGAUAACAGCGGGAAACCGCUGCUAAUACCGGAUGUCUUUACCUUGGGGCAUCUUGAGGUAAAGAAAGGUAACGCUUUGGGAUGGGCCCGCGUCCCAUUAGCUAGUUGGUGAGGUAACGGCUCACCAAGGCGACGAUGGGUAGCCGGCCUGAGAGGGUGGACGGCCACACUGGGACUGAGACACGGCCCAGACUCCUACGGGAGGCAGCAGUAGGGAAUAUUGCGCAAUGGACGGAAGUCUGACGCAGCGACGCCGCGUGAGCGAUGAAGGUCUUCGGAUCGUAAAGCUCUGUCCUUGGGGAAGAAGGUCUUCGGACUUGACGGUACCCAAGAAGAAAGCCCCGGCUAACUACGUGCCAGCAGCCGCGGUAAUACGUAGGGGGCGAGCGUUGUCCGGAAUUACUGGGCGUAAAGGGUGCGUAGGCGGCCCUUUAAGUCAGAUGUGAAAGCCCGCAGCUUAACUGCGGAAUUGCAUUUGAAACUGGAGGGCUUGAGUGUCGGAGAGGGUAGUGGAAUUCCCAGUGUAGCGGUGAAAUGCGUAGAUAUUGGGAGGAACACCAGUGGCGAAGGCGACUGCCUGGACGAUAACUGACGCUGAGGCACGAAAGCUAGGGGAGCAAACAGG
rnacentral:rRNA from 1 species